UUAACUAUUUCUCUGUAGGGCAUGUUUGCUUAAUUUCUAUGCUGUUUCCAUGCAGUCUUGCCAUUUUUGUCUGCAGGCAGAGUGGGUUUUGUGUAUCAGCAGAGACAGAACUGCAGUGAGGUGCUUUGAUAGCUACACACAGUUUGGCUGCUGGGCCCAAACUCUUCUCCUUGCCAUGCCAAUCUGAGUAGCUAAAUUCUUCCAGGUGGUAAUGAUCAUUUCAGCAGUUGCACUGAACCUGCAGCACCUGUACAUCUUCUCUGGGCAAAGCAGAAGUAGUUUCAGUUGCCGGGAACUUGGAUGAAUUUGACAUUCUUUCUCCUCAUGAACGUGUAGGGUGCAAAAGCAAUGUUGCUGCAGCACUUUGAUUUCAGAAUUGGGAGGCUGUGUUGCAUUUACAGACUUGUAUGAGGAAAAUAAUAUUUUAUGUUGUAAAGGCCUUUGGUUCCUGCUGUUCACAGAAAACUGCAGAUGGCUGCCUCAGCAGGAAGCCCUUCCCCCUUCCUUAAUGGAACUCGUGGGAAUGCGGGGAUCCUGGAACCGAAGCCCUCCUUCCCUUCCAAACCUCCUCUCCAAACCCCUACUGAGUAAAAGGAAAAAAAUCCCCACAUCCCUGGAAACAUUUUUGCCAGCCUGUUUUUCAGUAAAAACUUAAAUUAACCACUUCACUCCUGAUUAUAAUAAAGAUUUGUUAUUGAAACA
rnacentral:lncRNA from 1 species